rnacentral:rRNA from 1 species
UACGUAGGUGGCAAGCGUUGUCCGGAAUUAUUGGGCGUAAAGCGCGCGCAGGCGGUCCUUUAAGUCUGAUGUGAAAGCCCACGGCUCAACCGUGGAGGGUCAUUGGAAACUGGGGGACUUGAGUGCAGAAGAGGAAAGCGGAAUUCCAAGUGUAGCGGUGAAAUGCGUAGAGAUUUGGAGGAACACCAGUGGCGAAGGCGGCUUUCUGGUCUGUAACUGACGCUGAGGCGCGAAAGCGUGGGGAGCAAACAGG